GACGGAGGGUGCAAGCGUUGUUCGGAAUUACUGGGCGUAAAGCGUACGUAGGUGGCGGGUUAAGUCGAAUGUUAAAGCCUGAGGCUCAACCUCAGAGAUGCACUCGAUACUGGCCUGCUAGAGGGUGAUAGAGGAAAGCGGAAUUCCCAAUGUAGCGGUGAAAUGCGUAGAUAUUGGGAGGAACAUCAGUAGCGAAGGCGGCUUUCUGGGUCACACCUGACACUGAGGUACGAAAGCGUGGGAGCAAACGGG
rnacentral:rRNA from 1 species